CAAGCUCAAGGUUGUCAGAGCAAAAGAGCCAGAUUAAAAGAAGGAUUCCUUACAGAUGCUUUCUAAACCUGGAUGUCCCCCAAAGAGAAGCAGAAACCACUUGAGAGAUGCUUGCAUCAAAGUCAAAGCAGGCAGACAUGGGACUGAAAUGCAGCUGACACCACAUGCAAUUAACAACCACAAGAAUUCAAAGGAAAACAAUCUAUGAAGAGCUGCUGGAAGUUGGCACCCGACCAGGGACUAACAGAACCCUGGACAGGGAUCACUUUUAACCCGGGGAGAUCGAAGAUGUUGAACAUGACACAGCAGCGCCUUACCAGAU